AUUGAACGCUGGCGGCAGGCCUAACACAUGCAAGUCGAACGAGUGGCGGACGGGUGAGUAAUGUCUGGGAAACUGCCUGAUGGAGGGGGACAACUACUGGAAACGGUAGCUAAUACCGCAUACCAUCAGAUGUGCCCAUAUGGGCUUACCUUGUUGGUGGGGUAACGGCUCACCAAGGCGACGAUCCCUAGCUGGUCUGAGAGGAUGACCAGCCACACUGGAACUGAGGCGCGGUCCCGACUCCUACGUGGGGCAGCAGUGGGGAAUAUUGCACAAUGGGCGCAAGCCUGAUGCAGCAAUGCCGCGUGUAUGAAGAAGUCCUUCGGGUUGUAAAGUACUUUCAGCGGGGAGGCGUUACCCGCAGAAGGAGCCCCGGCUAACACCGUGCCAGCAGCCGCGGUAAUUC
rnacentral:rRNA from 1 species